UAUUCGACGAGAACGAACGUACAUUGAAUACACUCGGGAAUACCAUAUUAUUCCCCUUUUAAAAAAUUAAUAACUCUGUUGAAAUUACAAAAGGAUGUAUUAACGUCACAUUUCUGUAUACAUUUUUUCGUUCGACUUUGAAAUAACCCUCGUAAUUCAAUGUCGGGCGUAGUUGUUGACUUUUAAUGGUGCUAUCAUUUUAUUGUUCACUAUUAAUCUGUGUUAUAAUAUAAAAUGGUAGCGGGUAAUAAUCCUACUCAACUUCUUAUGAAGGGUUUCGCCAGCGAGCGUGCUAUUUAGUUAUUACCACUAGAAUUCUCAUUUGUUUAUUUGAAUAUAGUUCACUCCUGUUUAGGUUUCUACACCUUUCCUUGUGUUAUCUGACAUUUAGUAUUCUUUAAGAAAAUAAGAUGGACUUGAAACGUGUCAUUUAGUAUUGCUGGUGGAGUAAAUUCUAUCCACGCUUUUUCGUCGAUAUUAUAGUUUUAAAACGGACGAGCGUUUUUCGAGCAGACGUUUCACUGCCAAUCAAGUGCAAAGUUUCUUUUCUUCUUGUAGAAUAAGAUAAUGUGGCACAGCCAGUCAGUCCUCUUGCUAUAUUUCUAAUUUGUACUUCAUAUAAAGCAUGUAAACAUUCAUUAACAAUUAGCAGGUUACUAAAGCUUUAAAGGUGACACUACAGCAGCCCAACGCAUUGGCAUCUAGGACAGGAUAGGAUUUACAUAUCUACACAAGUGCGCCGCAAUUCUUUUUGCAGUACAGUAUUUUUGGUACUCCCGUAGUGUGUGUGAUAAUUUUAUUCCAAUUCUCUUUGAAAUAACGGGUAUGGCAAUAUAGCUCUCAUAGAUUUCCAGAUAUCGGAAGUUUAUUCCCUGGAAAAGUUGAACCUGUUUAAUUGAACUGCUAUGCCUGAAUUCGGGUAGAGUUAACCCAAAACGACUACGGUACUUGGACAAAAAGUCUAAACAUUGCUUCGCUUGUCCUUCCCCCCACACAUUUUGAAUCUAUUGAUUUCAAUGUUUUUAGUUAUUAAAGAUGAAAGAAAUCAGCAGGACGCUAUUACUAUAUUUCCUAUAAAACCCAACAUUUUAUCACAAAUUUUGCUUUACUGUUACUUAAAAUAAUGAAAGCAAUUUUACAGUGUUUCACCGAAAAUAGGACCUAGCCUGAAUUUUGAGAAUGAUUUUCAUAAAUAAAUAAAGACCUUAUCAAUAGCGCGAUUUUUUUUUUUGACCUAGUUGAUAGCAAGAAAUCUCUUCUACACAUUUUAAAUGAUUAAUUUAAAACGUGUGAGAGGGGAAAACGGGUUAUUUAAGUAAAUGGAUAUCAGUUUUCAUAUUUUGUAUAACUGGAAAUUUUGUAAUUCUCUACUUUGUAAUUUUGAUAAAUUAAAAACAAAGACAUCCCCCAAAAAUAAGUUCUAGUGUUAUGUUUCGAAAGAAAAUUGAAAGUCUUAUUUUCAGGGAAACCCGAUAUAUGAUCUUGGAUAAGGAUGUCCUUAUCGUCUCUGUUUAGCGUUGUAUUCAAAUCGGUUUUUCCAAUUCAGUUAAUCACAAUUCAGAAGGUUGCGAAAUGAUUUUUUCUGUGUUAUUCUAGAAUAGUUUGGUAAAUACUGACAUCCUUAACCUUCACAUUCUCUUACACACAGGGUGGCAAAGACUGGUUUGUAUUUAUCGAAUAGGAGCAUUGCUCUCUUGUAUUAAAACCAGUGUACUGAAUAUCAAACUACAACACCCACACUGAGCUGCACGGGGCUGUUGCAAUUUGGUAAGAGGGUUGUGGAUGAAUAAAUAUUAAUAAAAACGAUGUUGGGCUGCCACCAAGUGGCCAUCUAAAUA